rnacentral:rRNA from 1 species
GGUUAAGCGACUAAGCGUACACGGUGGAUGCCCUGGCAGUCAGAGGCGAUGAAGGACGUGCUAAUCUGCGAAAAGCGUCGGUAAGGUGAUAUGAACCGUUAUAACCGGCGAUGUCCGAAUGGGGAAACCCAGUGCAAUUCGUUGCACUAUCGUUAACUGAAUACAUAGGUUAACGAGGCGAACCGGGGGAACUGAAACAUCUAAGUACCCCGAGGAAAAGAAAUCAACCGAGAUUCCCCCAGUAGCGGCGAGCGAACGGGGAGCAGCCCAGAGUCUGAAUCAGCUUGUGUGUUAGUGGAACGGUCUGGAAAGUCCGACGGUACAGGGUGAUAGUCCCGUACACCAAAAUGCACAGGCUGUGAACUCGAAGAGUAGGGCGGGACACGUGGUAUCCUGUCUGAAUAUGGGGGGACCAUCCUCCAAGGCUAAAUACUCCUGACUGACCGAUAGUGAACCAGUACCGUGAGGGAAAGGCGAAAAGAACCCCGGCGAGGGGAGUGAAAAAGAACCUGAAACCGUGUACGUACAAGCAGUGGGAGCACCUUCGGGUGUGACUGCGUACCUUUUGUAUAAUGGGUCAGCGACUUAUAUUCUGUAGCAAGGUUAACCGUAUAGGGGAGCCGCAGGGAAACCGAGUCUUAACUGGGCGUUAAGUUGCAGGGUAUAGACCCGAAACCCGGUGAUCUAGCCAUGGGCAGGUUGAAGGUUGGGUAACACUAACUGGAGGACCGAACCGACUAAUGUUGAAAAAUUAGCGGAUGACUUGUGGCUGGGGGUGAAAGGCCAAUCAAACCGGGAGAUAGCUGGUUCUCCCCGAAAGCUAUUUAGGUAGCGCCUCGUGAACUCAUCUUCGGGGGUAGAGCACUGUUUCGGCUAGGGGGUCAUCCCGACUUACCAACCCGAUGCAAACUACGAAUACCGAAGAAUGUUAUCACGGGAGACACACGGCGGGUGCUAACGUCCGUCGUGAAGAGGGAAACAACCCAGACCGCCAGCUAAGGUCCCAAAGUCAUGGUUAAGUGGGAAACGAUGUGGGAAGGCACAGACAGCCAGGAUGUUGGCUUAGAAGCAGCCAUCAUUUAAAGAAAGCGUAAUAGCUCACUGGUCGAGUCGGCCUGCGCGGAAGAUGUAACGGGGCUAAACCAUGCACCGAAGCUGCGGCAGCGACACUAUGUGUUGUUGGGUAGGGGAGCGUUCUGUAAGCCUGCGAAGGUGUGCUGUGAGGCAUGCUGGAGGUAUCAGAAGUGCGAAUGCUGACAUAAGUAACGAUAAAGCGGGUGAAAAGCCCGCUCGCCGGAAGACCAAGGGUUCCUGUCCAACGUUAAUCGGGGCAGGGUGAGUCGACCCCUAAGGCGAGGCCGAAAGGCGUAGUCGAUGGGAAACAGGUUAAUAUUCCUGUACUUGGUGUUACUGCGAAGGGGGGACGGAGAAGGCUAUGUUAGCCGGGCGACGGUUGUCCCGGUUUAAGCAUGUAGGCUGAUUGUCCAGGCAAAUCCGGAUAAUCAAGGCUGAGGUGUGAUGACGAGGCACUACGGUGCUGAAGUAACAAAUGCCCUGCUUCCAGGAAAAGCCUCUAAGCAUCAGGUAACAUCAAAUCGUACCCCAAACCGACACAGGUGGUCAGGUAGAGAAUACCAAGGCGCUUGAGAGAACUCGGGUGAAGGAACUAGGCAAAAUGGUGCCGUAACUUCGGGAGAAGGCACGCUGGUGUGUAGGUGAAGUCCCUGCGGAUGGAGCUGAGACCAGUCGAAGAUACCAGCUGGCUGCAACUGUUUAUUAAAAACACAGCACUGUGCAAACACGAAAGUGGACGUAUACGGUGUGACGCCUGCCCGGUGCCGGAAGGUUAAUUGAUGGGGUUAUCCGUAAGGAGAAGCUCUUGAUCGAAGCCCCGGUAAACGGCGGCCGUAACUAUAACGGUCCUAAGGUAGCGAAAUUCCUUGUCGGGUAAGUUCCGACCUGCACGAAUGGCGUAAUGAUGGCCAGGCUGUCUCCACCCGAGACUCAGUGAAAUUGAACUCGCUGUGAAGAUGCAGUGUACCCGCGGCAAGACGGAAAGACCCCGUGAACCUUUACUAUAGCUUGACACUGAACAUUGAGCCUUGAUGUGUAGGAUAGGUGGGAGGCUUUGAAGCGUGGACGCCAGUCUGCGUGGAGCCAACCUUGAAAUACCACCCUUUAAUGUUUGAUGUUCUAACGUUGGCCCCUGACCGGGGUUGCGGACAGUGUCUGGUGGGUAGUUUGACUGGGGCGGUCUCCUCCCAAAGCGUAACGGAGGAGCACGAAGGUUAGCUAAUCCUGGUCGGACAUCAGGAGGUUAGUGCAAUGGCAUAAGCUAGCUUGACUGCGAGCGUGACGGCGCGAGCAGGUGCGAAAGCAGGUCAUAGUGAUCCGGUGGUUCUGAAUGGAAGGGCCAUCGCUCAACGGAUAAAAGGUACUCCGGGGAUAACAGGCUGAUACCGCCCAAGAGUUCAUAUCGACGGCGGUGUUUGGCACCUCGAUGUCGGCUCGUUGUCAUGCCAAUGGCACUGCCCGGUAGCUAAAUGCGGAAGAGAUAAGUGCUGAAAGCAUCUAAGCACGAAACUUGCCCCGAGAUGAGUUCUCCCUGAGACUUUAAGUCUCCUGAAGGAACGUUGAAGACGACGACGUUGAUAGGCCGGGUGUGUAAGCGCAGCGAUGCGUUGAGCUAACCGGUACUAAUGAACCGUGAGGCUUAACCUU